rnacentral:tRNA from 1 species
UCCCUGGUGAUCCAGUGGUUGAGUCUGUUCUCCCAAGGCAGGGGGCACAGGUUCAAUUCCUGGUCAGGGAA